GUUUUAUAUCUAUAUUUAGUCCUGGUCUUGGCUAAUUUUUGGGUUGGGGGUUUCCACAAAAUCAUAUAUAGAUUUGUUCCUUAGAAUUUUGGGGACUUUUGCUUUUAAAUAUAGAAAAAUGGUUAGCAGUGGUGAUAACAAUGAUGGUUUAGCGUUUCAAAGUGGGGGACAGAGUGUUGUGAAUUGUCAAUCUUCUGGAAUGGGGGGAAACCCCUUCUUUGCUUCUGCUUGGGAUCCAGUUGUUUCUAUAAGUCAGCAUGAGAAUUUUGGAGGU
rnacentral:misc_RNA from 1 species